GGGGGAUAUUGCACAAUGGGGGAAACCCUGAUGCAGCGACGCCGCGUGGAGGAAGAAGGUUUUCGGAUUGUAAACUCCUGUCGUUAGGGACGAUAAUGACGGUACCUAACAAGAAAGCACCGGCUAACUACGUGCCAGCAGCCGCGGUAAAACGUAGGGUGCAAGCGUUGUCCGGAAUUACUGGGUGUAAAGGGAGCGCAGGCGGGAAGACAAGUUGGAAGUGAAAACCAUGGGCUCAACCCAUGAAUUGCUUUCAAAACUGUUUUUCUUGAGUAGUGCAGAGGUAGAUGGAAUUCCCGGUGUAGCGGUGGAAUGCGUAGAUAUCGGGAGGAACACCAGUGGCGAAGGCGGUCUACUGGGCACCAACUGACGCUGAGGCUCGAAAGCAUGGGUAGCAAACAGGAUUAGAUACCCUGGUAGUCCAUGCCGUAAACGAUGAUUACUAGGUGUUGGGGGAUUGACCCCCUCAGUGCCGCAGUUAACACAAUAAGUAAUCCACCUGGGGAGUACGACCGCAAGGUUGAAACUCAAAGGAAUUGACGGGGGCCCGCACAAGCAGUGGAGUAUGUGGUUUAAUUCGAAGCAACGCGAAGAACCUUACCAGGUCUUGACAUCCGAUGCAUAGCACAGAGAUGUGUGAAAUCCUUCGGGACAUCGAGACAGGUGGUGCAUGGUUGUCGUCAGCUCGUGUCGUGAGAUGUUGGGUUAAGUCCCGCAACGAGCGCAACCCUUAUUGCCAGUUACUACGUUAAGAGGACUCUGGCGAGACUGCCGUUGACAAAACGGAGGAAGGUGGGG
rnacentral:rRNA from 1 species